CCCCAGAGUGUUGAGUUCAGUUCAGGGCAACUUCCCUGUUCUGUUAAUUAAACUUUGGGACAUUGAAAGUGGCUGAGAAAAAGUGAUUGAAUAGAGAGUAUUUCUCUAUUCAUAGACUUCCUAGCCUACACCA